rnacentral:rRNA from 1 species
ACACGUAUGGAACCUGCCCGCCACAGGGGGAUAACCCGGGGAAACCCGGCCUAAUACCCCAUGCCGCCCGGACCGGGCAUCCGGUCCGGGCGAAAGGAGGAAUCCGGUGGCGGCUGGGCAUGCGGCGCAUUAGCUUGACGGCGGGGUAACGGCCCACCGUGGCGACGAUGCGUAGGGGUUCUGAGAGGAAGGCCCCCCACACUGGAACUGAGACACGGUCCAGACUCCUACGGGAGGCAGCAGUGAGGAAUAUUGGUCAAUGGGCGGAAGCCUGAACCAGCCAAGUCGCGUGAGGGAAUAAGGCCCUACGGGCCGUAAACCUCUUUUGCCGGGGAGCAAGGGCCGGGACGAGUCCCGGUCCGGAGAGUACCCGGAGAAAAAGCAUCGGCUAACUCCGUGCCAGCAGCCGCGGUAAUACGGAGGAUGCGAGCGUUAUCCGGAUUUAUUGGGUUUAAAGGGUGCGUAGGCGGGCUUUUAAGUCAGCGGUAAAAAUUCGGGGCUCAACCCCGUCCGGCCGUUGAAACUGGGGGCCUUGAGUGGGCGAGAAGAAGGCGGAAUGCGUGGUGUAGCGGUGAAAUGCAUAGAUAUCACGCAGAACCCCGAUUGCGAAGGCAGCCUUCCGGCGCCCUACUGACGCUGAGGCACGAAAGUGCGGGGAUCGAACAGGAUUAGAUACCCUGGUAGUCCGCACAGUAAACGAU